rnacentral:lncRNA from 1 species
GGUGCUCAGGCUGAGCUGGCUGCUGGCAGAGGGGCGGGGCAGCUUCCCUUGCUGACAGCACCUCCAGCUCCCGCCUUCCCUCCCCCCCCACCCCGCCCCGCAGUGGUCGGCCUUCCAGCUUUGGGAGCUGUCCUCUGGCCCUGUCAUCACCAUCCCCACGAGGUCCUUAAGGAAUGCGCCUUCUCCAGAAAGAGGCUGUGGAGGGAUUCAUCACUAGGAAGAGGCCUGACGGUGGCACACACAGAAAGAAGCAGCACGUGGGGGCACCUGGGAGAUAAGAAAACUAAAGAGGGAUUUAAGGAGGAAACAGUCACCAGAUCCCAGCUGGGGAGAAAGGACCCGGGAUGCCACCACAUCAUUCUCGCUCCAUUUAUUACCAAGGCUUCCAGAACACAUCUCUAAUACAGUUAUGAAAAGACAAUAGGAAAAGAGGAUUUACUGUGAGGAGAUUCAUUUCACUGCACACGUGGCUGGGUGAGUCUAUUCCAGACAACAGGGCAUCUUAGUCAAUUUCUGUUGCUAUACCGAAUACUGCAGAGUGGAUAACUUAUAAAGUACAGAGGUUUAUUUAGCUCAUGGUUCUGAAGAUUGGGAGAUCCGAGGUUGGGGGGCCACAUCUGCUGAGGGACUUCUUUCUGCUGGUGACUCUCUUCAGAGUCCACAGGUGGCUCAAGGCAUCACAUGGUGAAGGGCUCGUAAGAGACCCACUCUCCUGAUAACUAACCCACUCCUUUGACAAUUUAUUAAUCCUUUAAUCCUUGAAUGGGUUAACUCAUUCAUGAGGGCAGAGCCCUAUCACCCAAUCACUUCCUGACCUCAAGUGAUCCGCCCGCCUUAGUCUCCCAAAGUGCUGGGAUUACAGGCAUGAGCCACUGUAAUGAGAUGGGUA